GAGGUGGGAGGAUCACUUGAGUUCAGGAGUUGGAGGCUGCAGUGAGCCGUGAUUGUACCACUGCACUCCAGCCUGAGUGACAGCAAGAUCCUGUCUC
rnacentral:miRNA from 1 species